AUUGAACGCUGGCGGCAGGCCUAACACAUGCAAGUCGAACGAGUGGCGGACGGGUGAGUCAUGUCUGGGAAACUGCCUUAUGGAGGGGGAUAACUACUGGAAACGGUAGCUAAUACCGCAUACCCUCAGAUGUUCCCAGAUGGGAUUAGCUAGUUGGUGGGGUAACGGCUCACCAAGGCGACGAUCCCUAGCUGGUCUGAGAGGAUGAACAGCAACACUGGAACUGAGACACGGUCCAGACUCCUACGGGAGGCAGCAGUGGGGAAUAUUGCACAAUGGGCGCAAGCCUGAUGCAGCCAUGCCGCGUGUAUGAAGAAGGCCUUCGGGUUGUAAAGUACUGUCAGCGGGGAGGCGUUACCUGCAGAAGAAGCACCGGCUAACUCCGUGCCAGCAGCCGCGGUAAUUC
rnacentral:rRNA from 1 species